UACGUAGGGGGCAAGCGUUGUCCGGAUUUACUGGGCGUAAAGAGCGUGUAGGCGGCUGGCCAAGCGUGAUGUGAAAUCUUCGGGCUUAACCCGAAAACUGCAUUGCGAACUGGUCUGGCUAGAGUGUGUGAGAGGGUAGUGGAAUUCCCGGUGUAGCGGUGAAAUGCGUAGAUAUCGGGGAGGAACACCAGUGGCGAAGGCGGCUACCUGGCACAUAACUGACGCUGAUACGCGAAAGCGUGG
rnacentral:rRNA from 1 species